UCCGGCUUGUCACCGGCAGUUUCUCCAGAGUGCCCAACUUAAUGGUGGCAACUAAGUACGAGGGUUGCGCUCGUUGCGGGACUUAACCCAACACCUCACGGCACGAGCUGACGACAGCCAAGCAGCACCUGAACCAGCGGUCCCCGAAGGACCCCGUAUCUCUACGAGUUUUCCGGCGAUGUCAAACCCAGGUAAGGUUCUUCGCGUUGCAUCGAAUUAAUCCGCAUGCUCCGCCGCUUGUGCGGGCCCCCGUCAAUUCCUUUGAGUUUUAGCCUUGCGGCCGUACUCCCCAGGCGGGGCGCUUAAUGCGUUAGCUGCGGCACAGAGAACCGGAGAGGUCCCCCACACCUAGCGCCCAACGUUUACAGCGUGGACUAC
rnacentral:misc_RNA from 1 species